rnacentral:rRNA from 1 species
GAUGAACGCUGGCGGCGUGCCUAAUACAUGCAAGUCGAGCGAACAGACGAGGAGCUUGCUCCUCUGACGUUAUCGGCGGACGGGUGAUUAACACGUGGAUAACCUACCUAUAAGACUGGGAUAACUUCGGGAAACCGGAGCUAAUACCGGAUAAUAUAUUGAACCGCAUGGUUCAAUAGUGAAAGACGGUUUUGCUGUCACUUAUAGAUGGAUCCGCGCCGCAUUAGCUAGUUGGUAAGGUAACGGAUUACCAAGGCAACGAUGCGUAGCCGACCUGAGAGCGAGAUCGGCCACACUGGAACUGAGACACGGUCCAGACUCCUACGGGAGGCAGCAGUAGGGAAUCUUCCGCAAUGGGCGAAAGCCUGACGGAGCAACGCCGCGUGAGUGAUGAAGGUCUUCGGAUCGUAAUACUCUGUUAUUAGGGAAGAACAAAUGUGUAAGUAACUAUGCACGUCUUGACGGUACCUAAUCAGAAAGCCACGGCUAACUACGUG